UUACGCAAGAGAACCAAUCUAGGUUCGUUCAUCCUUCUCUUCUACAUCUGAAACUCAAGCGACGAUGGUGUUUUCCAGAAGUUUUACUGCGAAGCAUCUUCAUGCUGACUCUCUUGCUCGAGCUCAUUUCAGUCCGUUUCGUCUGGGAUUCCUUUCUUCAAACCGUUACGAAAUGCAUUGAACCAUCACAUUAACGGCCGUCUUAACUCUUCGACUCGCUUCUACCACUAUAAAAAGUUUUGGAUUCAGUUUCAUCUUCUCCAUCAACAAGCAUCUACGUGCCCUCCGCUUGAGUUGUGAUUUUACUCGAGUGACUGGUCCUAUGUGAUGCAAAGCUCUAAGUUGAUCUGAAGGAGGACAUUAGUGAUGUGAUGUCCUAGGGAGGAGAUGAAGUUUAUUUGUCAAGGAGUUUGAGUUUGUCUAAGGUUGAGCUGUGAUUGAAAUCGAGAAGAAGAUAUACAUUAAACCGUAAAGAAGAAGAAUAUGUUGUUAAUGAUCAUUUUGAGCAACCGAAGGUUGAGUUAGCGAUGGAAAGAAAUGUGAUUCAUGAACAGCAGGAACAAGCCUACACUCAGGUAGAAGGAGGGAAGUCAAAGAGAGAUUGCCAGCAACAGUAUGUGCCACGUGGAUCCCUCCAGAACCAAAGAGGUCAUCGAGGUGCUCGAAGAGGCUAUUCCAAUGCCCGAGGAGGUCGAGCUGGUGAUGGUGGCUACUCGAAUGGGCGGUAUGAAUCUUAUGAUAAUUCCGGUGGAAACAGUUACCAAAGGAGCUACUACAACAGCAGAGGAAGGGGGCGUGAUGGUGGAAAUGGCUAUUCAUACAACAACCACCGAGACUCUAACGUCACCGUUGCGUCUUCGCUUCUCUGCCUUUGGCUUUUGUGUGCGUCUCAUUAGUUUGCUCAAGUUUCCUAUCACUUAUAUAAAGCAUUUUCUCUGGUUUGGAACUUUUGGCAAUUGGUCUCUUGGUAAUUAAUUUUCUUUUUGGUUGCGAAAUGUGAAAUAAUGAUCUUUUUUUUAUGAGAGCCAGUUUAGAUAGUCAAGCAUAGAUCGUUACAUAUUCAUACAAACAUCACAAACAAUUGAAAUGACAAAGCAAAAGCUACUGAAAUAUUAGCCAAAGAGCUGAAAGUUUUGACACUUAAGUGUUAAAGUGUGUAUGUGUUUGAUAUCUCCACUGGGGAAAGGAGCUAUAAUCAAAAAAUGGUGAUACAAAAUCAGCCAGGUACGCGGAUAAUCGUUUCGAAGGUGGAAGAAAAUGCGCAUUGGAUUUCUCUGUAUGGAUUUAGCUGGAGUUGUUUAAGUUGUUUAUGUACUUCGGUGUAGCCUAUUUGGUUUGGUUAUCUGAAUAUGAAGUACGGUGGGAUUCACUCUUUAACCACUCCAGUUAAAACUACAGAUUUUUAUAAUAGUCUUUGUUCAAACUAUGCGUAGGGAAAGAAGUAAUCAGUUCAUUUUCCAAGCUUAAAUCGAAGGUCAUGUCCACUUUAGCUCAAGAUUGAGCAAGCUCUGAGUUACUACUACGAGUCCAAGAGUGAUCCAGGCAGAUGUGUUUGAAGUGUUUGCGCUUUGAAUAAAUAAUGACUUACAUGAACCAGCUUCUUUAACCAAUAACCAAUGGUUCAUUGGUAAUUGAAGUUAAUGGGAAUAUUUUUGGCUGUCUUCGACAUGGAUUUAAGAUUUGAGAUGAGUGCUCCUUCUCAAAGGACUCGAGUAAGAAGACCAGUAAAACCAACCCCAAAGUUCCAAGAAAUAUAAUGGACCAUGGUUAGAGGGAGCCGUGGUGAUCGAGGAAACCCCUUACCACCAUUUUAGGAAGUU